GACGAACGCUGGCGGCGUGCUUAACACAUGCAAGUCGAACGGUAAGGCCCUUCGGGGUACACGAGUGGCGAACGGGUGAGUAACACGUGGGUGAUCUGCCCUGCACUUCGGGAUAAGCCUGGGAAACUGGGUCUAAUACCGGAUGGGACCAUGCGCUUCACGGUGUGUGGUGGAAAGCUUUUGCGGUGUGGGAUGGGCCCGCGGCCUAUCAGCUUGUUGGUGGGGUAAUGGCCUACAAAGGCGACGCCGGGUAGCAGGCCUGGGAGGGGGACCGGCCACACUGGGGCUGAGAUACGGCCCAGACGCCUACGGGAGGCAGCGGUGGGGAAUAUUGCACAAUGGGCGCAAGCCUGAUGCAGCGACGCCGCGUGAGGGAUGACGGCCUUCGGGUUGUAAACCUCUUUCAGUAGGGACGAAGCGCAAGUGACGGUACCUACAGAAGAAGGACCGGCCAACUACGUGCCAGCCGCCGCCGUAA
rnacentral:rRNA from 1 species